rnacentral:rRNA from 1 species
GAUGAACGCUGGCGGCGUGUCUAAUACAUGCAAGUCGAGCGAACGGACGAGAAGCUUGCUUCUCUGAUGUUAGCGGCGGACGGGUGAGUAACACGUGGAUAACCUACCUAUAAGACUGGGAUAACUUCGGGAAACCGUAGCUAAUACCGGAUAAUAUUUUGAACCGCAUGGUUCAAAAGUGAAAGACGGUCUUGCUGUCACUUAUAGAUGGAUCCGCGCUGCAUUAUCUAGUUGGUAAGGUAACGGCUUACCAAGGCAACGAUGCAUAGCCGACCUGAGAGGGUGAUCGGCCACACUGGAACUGAGACACGGUCCAGACUCCUACGGGAGGCAGCAGUAGGGAAUCUUCCGCAAUGGGCGAAAGCCUGACGGAGCAACGCCGCGUGAGUGAUGAAGGUCUUCGGAUCGUAAAACUCUGUUAUUAGGGAAGAACAUAUGUGUAAGUAACUGUGCACAUCUUGACGGUACCUAAUCAGAAAGCCACGGCUAACUACGUG